rnacentral:rRNA from 1 species
GAUGAACGCUGGCGGCGUGCCUAAUACAUGCAAGUCGAGCGAACGGACGAGAAGCUUGCUUCUCUGAUGUUAGCGUCGGACGGGUGAGUAACACGUGGACAACCUACCUAUAAGACUGGGAUAACUUCGGGAAACCGGAGCUAAUACCGGAUAAUAUUUUGAACCGCAUGGUUCAAAAGUGAAAGACGGUCUUGCUGUCACUUAUAGAUGGAUCCGCGCUGCAUUAGCUAGUUGGUAAGGUAACGGCUUACCAAGGCAACGAUGCAUAGCCGACCUGAGAGGGUGAUCGGCCACACUGGAACUGAGACACGGUCCAGACUCCUACGGGAGGCAGCAGUAGGGAAUCUUCCGCAAUGGGCGAAAGCCUGACGGAGCAACGCCGCGUGAGUGAUGAAGGUCUUCGGAUCGUAAAACUCUGUUAUUAGGGAAGAACAUAUGUGUAAGUAACUGUGCACAUCUUGACGGUACCUAAUCAGAAAGCCACGGCUAACUACGUG